UAAAGAAAGCGUAACAGCUCACUGGUCUAAAUAAGAGAUCCUGCGGCGAAGAUGUAACGGGGCUAAAGUGAUGCACCGAAGCUUAGGGUUGCAGUUUACUGCAGCGGUAGCGGAGCGUUCCGUAAGUGGUUGAAGCCGAAGGGUAACCGACGGUGGACAUAUCGGAAGUGCGAAUGCUGACAUGAGUAGCGAUAAAGAGGGUGA
rnacentral:rRNA from 1 species